CCUUUUUCUUUCUCCUCUCGACUUUUCUUUUUUAUUUCUUUUACUUUUACCUGCCAGCUAACGCACAGACGCGUUGCAUACACGCGCAGUCGAGUCGUUUUCGAGACCUUCUCGCAGAAUUCAUCGCCACGGGUGUGCUCGUGGGAGGCUUUAUACGGUGUCCAUGGUGAAGACGUUCAAAUGAAUUUACUGUCGUUGUUCUUUCUCUGGGUGGGUACCACCGGCCUCGAAAACUUACGAUGAAAAGGUUCGACACAGCUGGGAAGAAAUACCUAUUAAAGUUGGAAUAGUGGUGGUCUUUGAUAUACACCGUUAUCGACCCGAAGAGAAGUAACGUUGAAUGAUACGAGGGUGGCCAGCACACUUUUAGUCUGUUCAUGACUCGAUCUUGAAUUUUGAUACGCGUCUUGUAGCUCGUUUUCAAGAAAUAUGGUGACAGGGGUUACAAAGGGCCUGGAAACCGCUUGGAAAAACCGGCAUUCGAGUUAAAAUCGCACGCAUUGUGCAUUGUGCGACACAGUCGAAAAGCGUCGACCGCAUCGUCGGGCGCAGCUAUAUAAACGAGUGUUCUUUGAACAACAAUGUUCCAAGGCCGACAACAGAGCAUUUCGGCACACCUGAGUUACCUGGUGCAUUUAAUACCUGGCUGCAGGUACGAUGGGAACGACCCGACAGUUCUGGAAUUCCGUUCAAGGUUCCGUAUAGAUUUCAUUUUAAACAGCUCUGGUAAACGAUGGAUAUAAACCAGUCGUUGGAAACGAAUCUUACACCGAAACAAUGCCCGUGAAAAUGACUUUAUACGCAAAGGCAGGUAGCAAAUACGCCUUAAGCGUUCGUCGUCGAACAAAAGAUAGAGGGGGGAUACGAACAACUGCUUCUGUCUUAAUGGGAUUUAACUGGUCCGGGUUAGGGCUUACGAAGCGCAGCUGCAGCAAAUAUAAAAUUCAAUGUCUAGCUGCGGAAUAAACAGGCUGCGCUGUCGAGGAGGUGCCCUUGCUAGGUGAGACUAUCGUCUCGUACCUAGUGCUCUAGAUUUCCGUUAAACCGAGGAACAAACGACGCGACGCGCGACAUGAAAACAGGUCAGCGAGCGUUAAUGACGGUCCGGUGGUGCAUUCGUCGUCGCGCACAUACGCUCGCCGCUCGGGUAUUUUAAAAACCGGUGACGAGCUUGUAUUUUCGCGGUACGGACCGUUUGAACAGCUGCGCAAAUAGUGGAUCCUCGCGGCACGAUGCUCCGCAAUUUUUGUCUCCUGUUUCAGCUCGCGCGUAUUUUUAUUACGGCUCGAUCACGAGCUCCGUGCCAUUCCGCAAUCAACGACCGUAUAAAUUAACAGGGACCGCUUAUUUCUGUACCUUGAUUCCCCGUAAAAAGUGUAUGUACCGUUAUCGAAACGAAGCUUUUUUUCAUUCAAGUGUCGCUCGACGAUUUAAUUUGUCAGGUCGAGUUCCUUAAUACAACAUCAUUCGAGUAAUCACCGUUCGACUAUUGGUGAUUAUCAGCGGUACUAUCCAGAUUUGUCUCCAUAAUUCCAGCCUUAAUGUUCAGGUUCGAGCAGUGACGCACAACCUCGAUGUUCACUGAUUAACACGUUCGUGCCCGGGGUAACAGGUGCAGCCCGGCUGAUUGUAAGAUAAGGCGAACUCGUAAAUGAAACUAUUAAGAAUCAUCAUGAUUGAUAUCGAAACAAUCAGUAACGUAUGCUAUAAAUUUUACGAUUACUUGUGAAGAUCGGUAUCAUUUUGGAAUUGGUAGAUUUACCAAACUUAGAUUGAACGCGUUAAAGCUUUAUUAAUUUUACAGAUAAUUGAAAAAUUUUUUAUCGUGAAAAAUUCCAAAGCUUACGAUUAUUACGUCGAAUUAAGAAGUUGGAAUUGUUCACGAUUUCUCCCUACAUAUUCCGGCGAUCGUGACGGCUAAGAAAGGCUGUGCUUACAAUUAGCACCGUGUUAGAAUAGAAGAAGACGGAGAGUCGAAAAGAGGAAAGAAAGGAAUGAAGGGGCAAGAGGAAGAGGAAAAGAGAUGAAGUACGAUGGAGCAAGUGUGGGUAUAUAGUUAUAGCCACCGUGGCCCUGAUACGAUGUUACAGUCUGUAGGCAGUCAGGAAUCAGGAGGGUCGCCCCACAGCUAACACGUGCAAGGCGCACGUGCACUCCGAGAGACCACUCUAGCCUCUGGCGCACAAUCAUCGGAUGCCAAGAUACACUCCACGGAAUAAUUUUCGAGGGGCACUCCCAUGCCUUCCUCCUUCGACUCUCGUUUCGCGAAAAAAGAAAUCAGCCACGAAGGAGAACGAGUUUCGUCGAUUUAAGGACGCGUACCAACGAACGGCAUCCAUUAUUAUCAUGGGAAAUAUUCAAAUUUCGUCUAUCACAUGAAUUGUAUACAAUUUUUCAUUUAUUAUUUAAUCAAUCUUCAUAAAUAACGAGUAGGUACAUAAUUCUAAAAAUGAUUUAUUUAUAAAUAGUAAUUUGUCAAUUCAAUAUCUGGUGUUUUACUCCGAAACAUAAUACAAGAAUCAAAACUCGAUAUCGGUAUUCAUAAUAAAUUAGUUUUGGUUCUAGGCUGUACCUAAGUUUGAAGUUUGCAAAUAUUUCCUGUCAACAGCAAUAAAUCGCUAUUCGCUAAAAUUUAUUCGAUCGUUUAUUCAUAAAAUUAACUGAAUACCGGUAUACGUCACACAGUUAUCACAUUUUGCUCGAAAUUUAGAUUAAUUUUAAAAUAUCUUUUAGUGCCAGCCAACAGAGUAUCCUCCACGACAUUUAACCCAACGUCUACCUUUGAAGUGUUUAAUUAUUAAUAUCCAAGGUAUAAGAAGAAAUAGAUGAAACGUAAGUAAUAUUUCCUUCCUAAAAUCCAAUAUUACGUAAGAUUUUCUAGCCGUUCUCCCUUUUGACGGUAAUAAA